UUUGAAUACAUGUGUUCUCGGAAUGCAACUUGUUGUACUUUUGGACUUCUGGAACUUUUUAUGAUGUAACGACAAGAGAGAAGAAAAUUGACAUUAAAGGAGAACCAGUAACUAAAGAUGUAUGAUGAAUCAAGAUGUGAUCAUGUGAUGCCAUGAGAUGAUCUGUCUGUCCAUCUGAUAUCACUUGUCCUGAGUAUAUUUUUUCUCC